rnacentral:rRNA from 1 species
UGCGGAUAAACCGGAGGAAGGUGGGGAUGACGUCAAAUCAUCAUGCCCCUUAUGACCUGGGCUACACACGUGCUACAAUGGUUGGUACAACGAGUUGCGAGUCGGUGACGGCGAGCUAAUCUCUUAAAGCCAAUCUCAGUUCGGAUUGUAGGCUGCAACUCGCCUACAUGAAGUCGGAAUCGCUAGUAAUCGCGGAUCAGCACGCCGCGGUGAAUACGUUCCCGGGCCUU